CAUGGAAAGGGUUUGGAUAAUCCCACCCUUAAGCAACGCAAGCUCAGGAGAUGGGAUGAUGGGAAAGCACCACCCGUGUCCCGGAGAACCCCAUCCCUGUCUGUGCCUUGCAGGAAGAGCCUGGAGAAGGCAGUGACAGACACAUUAAGGACCCCCUCAGGAAUUUCUCUUCCCAUUAGCACGGCCAGCGUUAAGUUUGCACGGUGGGGUCAAGGCAGGGUUUGACCAUCUCCCUGACAACAGCACGGCUGGAGGGGCCUCCCCCGGCCUUCCCAAGGCCGGUGGAAAGUUUCUCACUGACUUCAUGGGUUGGAGUGAGGGCCACGAGAAGCACGUGGAUGGCACUAUCCCAUUUUUUCCCACAUUGCACAACACGCAUGGAUGUAACAGUGAGUGUAAAAUCCAGCUCUACCUCUUGGAGAGGAGCCUCGUCCCUCCAGCACUGCCCCCUCCAGCCCCAUCCAAUGUGACACUGAGCUCAAAUAAACCUGUUUCAGCUCUGCCAGACUGAUUUUAAAGAGGAUGUUGCUCCACUCCUCUUCACUCCAAGCUGUCCUCAAUUCUUAUGUCUGUAGCAAGACACCUCCCAUCCCAAAUGAAGGAGCCACUGCCUUUCUGAGUGACAGAUAUCAGUCACUCCAGGCGAUGCCACUGGGCACCAGGCUUUGACUGAUCCGGGCUGGUGAUUUGUGCAGACAACAAGAGACACUGCGAAAGGUUUCAAAGCGAAUUCUUUGGAAGCCCAACAAGAGCCCCCACUUCCCCCUGUAGCGCGUUCGUGGCGAGGAACCCAGCGAGGAGAAAUCACCGUGACCCCCAUCCUCGUCAGGAAAAAUAAAUACAUUUCCUUCCA